CAGUAGCCGCGGGAAUACGUAGGGUGCGAGCGUUAAUCGGAAUUACUGGGCGUAAAGCGUGCGCAGGCGGUUUUGUAAGACAGGCGUGAAAUCCCCGGGCUCAACCUGGGAAUGGCGCUUGUGACUGCAAAGCUAGAGUGCGGCAGAGGGGGAUGGAAUUCCGCGUGUAGCAGUGAAAUGCGUAGAUAUGCGGAGGAACACCGAUGGCGAAGGCAACCCCCUGGGCCUGCACUGACGCUCAUGCACGAAAGCGUGGGGAGCAAACAGGAUUAGAUACCCCCGUAGUCCCUGUCUCUUAUAC
rnacentral:rRNA from 1 species